GAAAGAAACAAGGAAUCAAACAAUACCAACGCAGCGAAAAAAUCUUUUCCUAUCAAAAAAAAAUCAGGGAAGAGCAAAAUAUCCAACAAUCACAACAAAUAAUCCCAGCAAAAAUAUAUCCGAGAAUCUGCCCCAAAAACACAGAACAAUCACACCCAAUAAAGACACGAUUUUUAACGUGGAAAACCCCGCCAAUGUGAAGAAGAGUAAAACCCACGGAUCCUAUGAGACCUAAUCAAAAACUCCACUAUGAUUUGAGGCAAAUUUACAGCAGUACAAUCACCAUAAAAUAAAAUGCUCACAAACUAGAUUUCCAAAGAUAUAUGUAAGAAUCACAAAGAGACAAGAGAGAGUUUGAAGGAGACCACCCAAAACGCAGCUGCUGUUCAGGCUACAAAAAAAAAAAAACUGAGGUCUCUAAAGCUCCAAAUAGAUCUCCACCAUUCAGAUUGACGGUCGACGAGUCCUGAACGUGCUGUCAAAAUUUCAGUCAAAUUGGACCACAAAUGACCCUCUGAUCGUCAAUUUGAUGAAACUGCUCUGCCGCUCCUCUUCUCCGUCAACACUGCCGCAUGUCUCUCGUUUUUUUUUUUU
rnacentral:lncRNA from 1 species